UGGAAUAUUGUAUCAAAAUAAACAUGUUAUUGCACAAUUUAUUCAUUGAUAAGAAUUUAUUCAUCAUGUUAUGGGCAUGCCAAACAUGAACAUUGAUCCUUCAUGGAUUUGCAAUAUAACUAAUAAUUAUGAAUUAUAUAAGGCAUGUCAUUAUGGAGUGGAUUAGAACCAGUUGGAACUUUUCUCAGCUUUCUAACAACACGAGAUGAAAUAGUAGAAGAAAUAGUAGUAGAAAUAGUAGAAGAAAAAGGAUUCACUUUUUCAUUUAGAACCUUAGCCAUUGCAAUAUUUGGAAAUAGUGCCAUGAGAAACCCUGCUAACAAUAAAAUUGUUGAAACCAUUGAACUUAUCAAUGCCAUCUUUGUCUAACAAAAUUAUACAAAGGGUCCACGAUCACCACUUUCCUUUUGCUAUUGCUUUAGGAUAAUAUUAUAGAAAAAACUUACUUACUACCAUUUUAUAAUGGG
rnacentral:lncRNA from 1 species